GAUGAACGCUCGCUCCAGGCUUAACACAUGCAAGUCGAGGGGCAGCAUGGUCUUAGCUUGCUAAGGCCGAUGGCGACCGGCGCACGGGUGAGUAACACGUAUCCAACCUGCCGUCUACCCUUGGACAGCCUUCUGAAAGGAAGAUUAAUACAAGAUGGCAUCAUGAGUCCGCAUGUUCACAUGAUUAAAGGUAUUCCGGUAGACGAUGGGGAUGCGUUCCAUUAGAUAGUAGGCGGGGUAACGGCCCACCUAGUCUUCGAUGGAUAGGGGUUCUGAGAGGAAGGUCCCCCACAUUGGAACUGAGACACGGUCCAAACUCCUACGGGAGGCAGCAGUGAGGAAUAUUGGGCAAUGGGCGCAGGCCUGAACCAGCCAAGUAGCGUGAAGGAUGACUGCCCUAUGGGUUGUAAACUUCUUUUAUAAAGGAAUAAAGUCGGGUAUGGAUACCCGUUUGCAUGUACUUUAUGAAUAAGGAGCGGCUAACUCCGUG
rnacentral:rRNA from 1 species